rnacentral:rRNA from 1 species
AUUGAACGCUGGCGGCAGGCUUAACACAUGCAAGUCGAGCGGAUGAAGAGAGCUUGCUCUCUGAUUUAGCGGCGGACGGGUGAGUAAUGCCUAGGAAUCUGCCUGGUAGUGGGGGAUAACGUUCCGAAAGGAACGCUAAUACCGCAUACGUCCUACGGGAGAAAGCAGGGGACCUUCGGGCCUUGCGCUAUCAGAUGAGCCUAGGUCGGAUUAGCUAGUUGGUGAGGUAAUGGCUCACCAAGGCGACGAUCCGUAACUGGUCUGAGAGGAUGAUCAGUCACACUGGAACUGAGACACGGUCCAGACUCCUACGGGAGGCAGCAGUGGGGAAUAUUGGACAAUGGGCGAAAGCCUGAUCCAGCCAUGCCGCGUGUGUGAAGAAGGUCUUCGGAUUGUAAAGCACUUUAAGUUGGGAGGAAGGGCAGUAAGUUAACACCUUGCUGUUUUGACGUUACCGACAGAAUAAGCACCGGCUAACUUCGUGCCAGCAGCCGCCGUAACAC